GGGGUGAGAGAGGCAGCUCUUUUGGUGUGGUUGAUGGAUGCUUUGUGGUCCUUUCUGUAAAAGUCAGAGCAUCCUGGGUUACCAUGUGGCAGCUUGGUGCAGCGGAGAAAGUCCUGGCUGGAUCUGAGUUGCUGCUUGUGUGAUAAGGAGAAGAGCAUUCUGCUGUGGCUGGGAGCUGCUGGGAAGAUGAAAACAAGGGAAACUUUUACCGAUGACUCGAGGCAUCCAAAAAAAAUUCAUUUGUGUAGCGAUUCGGAGCCGGAGGUUACAUAAAAUAAGCAUCCCACGUGAACCUGCGCUCAGAAGCACGUCGCAGCGUCGAAGCAGGGAUCCUGACCCUAUCCUAGGACGUGCCAUCAUCAAUUUAUAAUUAUCUGUCUCUUAACCAGACUGGAAAAGAGGGAGGUGAUAAAUGCUCGCGCUGGAUUAGAGCGGUGAAGUGUCUUCGGUGAACUGUGGGAUCUUCCUCUAGAUCCACUGGCUUCUGCAGGGAAACUGAAGCUGCACCUGGCAGGAAUGAAGGAAUUAAUCUGGACUGAGUACACGCUAAUCUGGAGAUGGAAACAAUUUGCUAUUCAAGCAGAGGGAGGAGGAAGAAAAGAUGAGAGGGAUCUGGGGCGGAGGGGGAGCGGAUAUUAU